AGAAGGAGUGGACCCUGGGUCUCUUAACUAAUCCCCCCUAAUUUCAUUUAGGGGCUGGCAACAAAUAGGGAAGAAUCUCUGCUUGGAAGUGAUCUCUCUUUGGAGUUUCUGCAGAGCGCAAGUCAGCAUCCAGAAAAUGAUCCACUGCUGUCUACUGGAUUUUGCUGUUCUUUGAGACCUCACUGGACCUUGGCUAGUUCAUCAAGAGUAUCCUUCAUUGCUUGGAAGCAGAGGAUCUUAGCUCUUUGAAAGUCCAUAAAUACAGAAAAACAAACUUCAGCAUUCCUUGUGGAAGCAGUGAAGACUCAUGAACAUUACAAUGGAAAAAUGAGAACAGACAGAAAUUAGUUAAUCCUGGGCCUCAGGAGAAAUCAUAGCAAAAGGUUUCUGCUUCUGAGACAGCUUAGUUCCCAGCAGAGACCUGCAGCACUUUCUCAUGCCUGAGGAAGACAUGGCUGGAAUCAGAGGUAGCAGUAUCUCACGGGUCUUGAGUGGAGAAGGCCAAACCUGAGGCUUCCUUAGCAGCUCCUUGUAUAUGCUUCUUCUGGAGCUGCUCACAGGGUGCUGAGGAAGAGAUCUGCCAGAAAAUCAUAGAAUGUUCUCAUUAACUUGUUUCAGUGCACUUUUUAUCACCAAAGAUAAAAAAGAAAACAAUGAGCCCUGAACAUACUGGACAUCAGCUCUGAAAAAAGGACCAUGAGAAGCAUUCUGUAGCUUGACUGUUGCCAGUUCCUUAGCUGGGUCUGGGCUAUACCCACAACGGAUCACCUUGCUUGAAGAAGUUUUCAUGGAAAGACCAGCCAAUACGCACCAAAGACUUUAGGGGUAAAAAUACAACUUUCAUAAACCAUUCAACUCAAUGAAUGAAGAAAAAGAAAAAGCAAAAGAUAUCAUGCUUGGACAUUUGGAACAUACAAAGAUAGGCACACUUAUGCUCAAAAGCUUGUAUAUAUACAGCUGAUGCCCAAACCUCUGUAAAUUCAACUUAGAGACAGUUAUGGAGACCCGCUCUUGCGAUGAAUCUCUGCCAGCUGAUGUGAUAGUGAGGAUCCAGUGAGUUACUGCACUUGGUGGCCCUCCACUGAUUUUAUUUCUCAGUAAUGGGCACUGCCCAUAGAAUCAACCUCACCCUUAACGAUUGCAGUAGCCUCUGGAGAACAAUAAUUUUUUUCACUGUCGCAGUGUUAGGAUCCAUUGCAAUCCAAGUCUGUUUCAUGACUUAUAAUAUUUGCUGUAAUAUUGUUUAGAUUGGUGCAUCCGUAAGAAGCUUCGAAUCUGCUUAUUCUUCAUCCAUAAGCCACAUUAUUUAAGAAAUUCACCUUUCUCCUUCCUAGAUUGUGCUGCAUGUGUUGCCCACACGGUGCUCUGCUGUUGCCUUGCUUCUGGGACCCUGACCCCAUGUGCUCCUCUGCCAAAGAUCUGUCCCAGUAUGAGCUCCCUUGUGUGUCAUUUUGGUUUUCCUCUUUAUUUUCUUACUUUGUUACGUACCAGAUAAUUACUGGUCAGGUGAUUUCUUAUGUUGCUUUCUGGUUGAGUAUCUGGGGAUGAAAGAAGGUCAAUCUGUGUAUAUGUUUUAUAUUCUGGAAUUUCACUUUUGGAUGCAGGGUAAAGCUAGAAUCUCUGGGGCAUCUUUUUUAAAUCCCUUGGUUUGAUUCUGGGUCAAUAAUUUAUACUGACCUCAACUGUUAUUUAGAUUUGAAUGUAUCCGAAUGUGGCAUGAACAUGGCAUUUCUUUUAAGUUUUAAUAUUAUGCAAACAAGUCGAAAUAAGUUUUUAUUGUAAAACUUGAAACACAGAUCUAAGAUGACUUUGAAACUGAACCCCAAGCUAAACAGAAUCCAGAUAGCUGUGCCAAUAUAUUUUUAUAUUUUAUCAAAUAAAAUAUCUUGACAUGC
ensembl:lncRNA